UACGGGGGGAGCAAGCGUUGUUCGGAUUUACUGGGCGUAAAGGGCGCGUAGGCGGUCGUGACAAGUCACUUGUGAAAUCUCCGGGCUUAACUCGGAGCGGUCAAGUGAUACUGUCGGACUAGAGUACAGAAGGGGCAACUGGAAUUCUCGGUGUAGCGGUGAAAUGCGUAGAUAUCGAGAGGAACACCUGCGGCGAAGGCGGG
rnacentral:rRNA from 1 species